CAUGUACUCUUAAAUAAGAUAGAGACAGACUCUACAAAAAAUGCCUUCUCAAGUAGAAAUUCCAGCAACUCCAUCUCAUGAAGGUUACCCACAAAUUCCUCCAUCUUGAUUUCUGUAAGUUGAUCUUUGAGACAGUCAUGGGAAGUAGAUAUUGAAGACUUCUGCUUUUUGUCACUGCUUUCUGCAAAUUCCUUGAACUGGAAAAUCAAAUCAUAUUAAUAAGGCAUUGCUCACGGAAUAUUUGCUUGUUAAUCUGUAUGGUGUUUAUCUAUCUAUUUAUUAUAUAUGAUGAGAACAAAGCAAAUUAAGCAAUAGAACUCAGUACCGUCAUCUCAAUGCUGAUUGAUCCCGUAAGUAUU
rnacentral:lncRNA from 1 species